ensembl:lncRNA
GCCUUUUGGUUUGUGUCCUAUUCAUCUCAGGAGGCCGCUGUAUGUUAAAUAGCAUAUUUUAAAAAGUACAGUUACAGUUACUACGCAGGCCUACUCAAGUACUGUAAUUGACUUCUGACGAAGAAAGCGAUGGAUUGCUGAAGAUUUCUGCCUGAUGUGAAGAACUGGACUCUGGGUGAGAUCGCCUGUGCUGUACGGUUGGUCAUGCUCUCUGCCAGUGUGGAUUCCUGCGUUUACCGCCACUUGCAGAGAGUGCAGAGAGCAGAGAGCACUUUCCUCCUGACCACACUCAGCCUCCAUAAGGAUGUGCAGCUGACUUAUGGGUCUCUGAUUUGAUUCGUGAGAAGUCCUUCUAAUCAGGAAUCAAAUGUAACAGAGCUCUUCACGGCCCAGCUCCACCAUUACAACUUCCUGGAUGUGUUUUAUUAGCUGCUUCACUUCGGAUACUUCACAAAUGACUCAGCUCCUGAGGCAGGAGGAUUCUUGGAGAGCCUGUUUGGGUUCAUCAGCAUGUGGGAUGUGGACAUGUGGGAGCCUGCAGCACAGCUGUACUUCACAGUGCUUAUUAUUGUCAAUAGGAUAAGCUUUGUCAACAGCGACCCAGCAGCCUUAGCAAGUGCAGUUUCGUGGCUCCUCUGGCAACAUGUCCAGCGGAUGAUGGACACUUUGGAGAAGCUCUCAGCAAUGUCAUUCCCUCUACCCACCCCUCUGCCACCCCCAACCCCCCUUCCUCUUCAUGCUUUUAUCUCUUUUAAUUUACAAUUUAAUAUUGUGGGAUGCUCGCUAGAUCCUGCUAUCUCUAGUAACUUUAAUAAGGCAAAAAAAAAAAAAAAAACCAGCUUGUCAUGUUACUAUAAAAACAAAACAAAGCACUAAGUCCUCUGUACUGCGGCAGAAAACGUAUUGACCCUUACAAAGCUCUGACACCCGAAACUCAUUCCACAGAUAUAUUUUAAAAAUCCACUUACAGAAAAUGUCACCAUAUCAGCAAUUACUCAAUAUGUUUUUUCUUUAUUAAAUAACAGCAUUUUUGUAAACCUGUUCAUAAUUUCGCUUAGAUUAUGUGGAGCAUUUGUGCCCCAAGCCCCUGUAAAAGAGUUGCUACUAAAGAAAUUCAUAUAGAACAUAGAGAGAGAACAUACAGAUAACCUGAUUGCAACUUUAGCACAUUAAUGCUAUAAUUAAACCCCCAAAAUUCAUCUUUUCUUCCUCUGUUGCAUUUCAUAUUCGUUCUUUUCCAUGACUACUUUUCCCUACAUUGCUCAAGCUGUGCAUGAGUAAGUAUACAUCAAGUUUGUUGUUUUCAGUUAACUUAGUAUUUAAAAAAAAAAUCUUUUUUCUUCAUUUACAUGUCUGUAUAGAGAGCCCAGGACUGAAGGACCAGUGUAACAUCAUUCCUCAUCCCCAAUACUCACCCCUUUAUACUCUAUCCUUCAGUACUUUAUCCCUCUCCCCAUCACUCUAUUCCUUUCAGUAGCCUAAAGAGUCUAUAUAGAUGACAGCUGUAAAUAGAAUUGUUUGUAAAUAGUUGUUACAUAGUGCUUAUAUAGUUUGCUUUAGUAAAGGUUUGCAUUUACUCCUAUUGCAGAACUAAAUUAAUUUCUCAUUCAUAUACAAAUCCAUUUAAAGAAUUUCUGAAACUCUGAAAAAUGACAAAUAAACAAAAUUUUGAUAUUUAUAGCCGUGCAAAAUUUGUUGAUGGCACCAAAUUGUGUAAAAUUGUAAAUAUAAAAAUAAAAAAUAUUUAAUAUACUGUGUAAGAAAUCUUCAGAUUAUAGUCAGAAAAUCUCAUUGUUGAGGAACAAAAUUUUGGGAGAUUUUACCAUUUUACUGUAGUACACCGUUUAUAUUAGGCCAUCACUCUGAACUCUCAAGGUCAUGUUCUAAGACUGAGUGGUUGUGAUAUAACAGUCAUGGGUGUAAUGCUUGCAAAGGUAGAAUAUUUACUCUAUCAUCCGUAUUCUUUUCCCAAAAGAAACACAGAAAAGCAAACUGUGGCUAAUUAAAGUACAAAUUAAACAAAAGAACUGAAUUGUAUGUUUAGUGUUUUUUUGGUGUUUUUUUUUUUUUUUUGCUGUUGUUUGAACAAAAAAGUUACAACUUUUACAACGGCUACAAUCUUUGGAGGAAAC